ACGUUAAAACACCUGUUCCCGUACGAUCACUGAAGUUAAACAACGUCGAUCCUGAUCAGUUCCUAGAUGGGUGAUAGUUUGGGAAUACCAGGUGCU